rnacentral:tRNA from 1 species
GAGGGUGUAGCUUGGUGGCAGAGCAUGUGUCUAGUAUGCAGGAGAUCCUGGGUUCAAUCCUCAGCACCACUA